rnacentral:tRNA from 1 species
GAGAUCUUAGUUCAUAGGUAGAACAUGUGACUUUAAUCAUUAUAGUGCAGGUUCAAUCCUGUAGGUCUUA